UGUAAACCAGGGUAUUGCAGAUGCCAAGGAAGCUAACGAAGAUCUCCAGAAGCAGAUCGAUCUUUUGAACCAAAGAUUACAAGAUUUUAUCAAUAAAAAACAGGGAUCAAGCAAUAGCAAUGAUGCAGCAAAGUCUGUCCAACCAGAAGGCAAAGGUACAACUCCUGGCGCGAAAUUAAAGUCCGAAAGUAAAGAUGAUUCACGCAGCAAAGAUGAAUCUGAUUUCCAAGAUGACAUCUCCAAUGAAGAUAUCAAAGACGAAGACGAUACUGUGGAAACUGGUCAAAAUCAGGAAGCUAAAGACACAGCGAAAAAAGAUAAAAGAAAAGUAGACGAAAAGGGAGAUAAUGGAGAAGAGAAAAAAGACGCACAAAAAGAGGACCUAACAAAACAAAAGGAAGACGAUAAGAAGGAGGAUGUAACAGUUCUCGGACCAGGGGGAGAGAAUAAGGAUUUAAGAGAUGAGACUGGUGAAGAUGAAGACAGUUUACCAGAUGAUGAUUAUUGAUGAUAUUUAUAUUCAAUGCAGUGCUUACUUUAAGUGAUUUCAAGCUGUCAUACGUGCAAUUUUGAGUUGAGUUUGCAAACCUUUCCAAGUAUCAAUAAUUCAUGUCAUUUGUGGGUGGUGGAAGGGGGAGGCGGAAAAGCAUACAGAAAGACAUACAGACGUUUUUUUAUGACGCUCCCAAGGCGUGGUGCACACGGGGUGACAUGACGAUAUAAAACCAAGUCAAAUUCAUGCAUUUUCUUAGUUGUCAUUUUCUUGUAUACAUUUUAUAUGGUCUUAUAUGGUGUUAUUGGCAAUCAUGUCUAGCUUGAAAUACAAUAAAAUCAAACAAUUGAAGCAAUUAUUAUCUGAAGUGGUCUGCCAUGGGUUAUCUGCAUAAUUUAAGUGGUUAUUUGACCUGAACAAGAUUUAUCAGAUGGUUUUCCUAGCGAUUGUUAUUAUUUUAAGAUGACUAUUAGUAAAUUUAGUAAUAAUGUCAAAAUCAAACAAAACUAUCAGCUCUUGUUUUUAUGUAUUCAACAACCCUUGACGAAGUUUUAUCUAGGGCACACGCCUUGAAAAUAAAAUAAAAGAUCUAAGCCGA